rnacentral:tRNA from 1 species
UGCCCUUGUGGCCUAAUGGAGAAGGCGUCGGUCUCCUAUUUUGUGAGUAGUCAACCGACGAUCCGGGUUCGAGUCCCGGCAG